rnacentral:rRNA from 1 species
AACGAACGUUGGCGGCGUGGAUUAGGCAUGCAAGUCGAACGAAUCCCAGUGGGCUUGCUCGCUGGGGGAAGUGGCGAAAGGGGCAGUAAGGCAUGGGUAACCUACCCCGGGGACCGGCAUAGCCCUCCUAACGGAGGGGUAAUUCCGGGCGAUGCGUCGAGACCGCAUGAUCUUGACGUGAGAUGAAUUUCGCCUCGGGAGGGGCUCAUGUGGUAUUAGCUUGUUGGUAGGGUAACGGCCUACCAAGGCAAAGAUGCCUAGCGGGUGUGAGAGCACGACCCGCGCCACUGGCACUGAGACACUGGCCAGACUCCUACGGGAGGCUGCAGUCGAGGAUCUUCCGCAAUGGGCGCAAGCCUGACGGAGCGACGCCGCGUGUGCGAUGAAGGCCUUCGGGUUGUAAAGCACUGUGGUAGGGGAGGAAAGCGAAAGCUUGACUGUACCCUGCCAGAAAGCUCGGGCUAAGUUCGUGCCAGCCGCCGCCGUAAGAC